rnacentral:rRNA from 1 species
GACGGAGGAUGCAAGUGUUAUCCGGAAUCACUGGGCGUAAAGCGUCUGUAGGUGGUUUGUUAAGUCAACUGUUAAAUCUUGAGGCUCAACUUCAAAUCAGCAGUCGAAACUAUCAGACUAGAGUAUAGUAGGGGUAAAGGGAAUUUCCAGUGGAGCGGUGAAAUGCGUAGAUAUUGGAAAGAACACCGAUGGCGAAGGCACUUUACUGGGCUAUUACUAACACUCAGAGACGAAAGCUAGGGUAGCAAAUGGG